AUACUGCUUCUGUUCUGCAUCUAAGAAGAUGUGGGGUAAUAUGGAUGAGGCUCAUCCAUUGCACUCCAGGUGUGCUGGCCCCUGCAGUUUCUCCAAAUGUGGGAAACCUGACUGCCUAAUUUGUGGUAGUGGAGGGGACUGGAUUUGUGUUUUAUGGCUUGCUUUUC